CUUAAUCCUGUAUUGACAUGGAAUGAUACUCUAGUCAUCUUGGCUUGAUCUAGUGUGCCUCAUUGUCCUGAUCAGAAAAAUCAGAAACUUUGGGGGACCUGAAACAUCAUCUCUCUGGACUUGUUGCAAAGGCUGGAGUGCAAUGACGUGAUCUCGGCUCACUGCAACCUCCACCUCCUGGGUUCAAGCAAUUCUUCUGUCUCAGCCUCCUGAGUAGCUGGCAUUACAGGCGCCUGCCACCAUGCCUGGCUAAUUUUUGUAUUUUUAGUAGAGACGGGGUUUCACCAUGUUGGCCAGGCUGGUCUCGAACUCCUAACCUCAGGUGAUCCGCCCGCCUCAGCCUCCCAAAGUGCUGGGAUUACAGGCGUGAGCCACCAUGCCCGGCAUUAAGUCUCUAUUUCUUAGAUUCUCUUUUGAAUCCAGCUUCCAGCCUCUGCAAAGUUCCUUUUAUUAUUGCUGACAAAGAUAAUAUGAGUCCAUACAAUUUAUAACUACCUUCCACAGUUGGACCUUAGUCCUCUACAAUUAGAACCAUGUUUAGAGU
rnacentral:lncRNA from 10 species